rnacentral:rRNA from 1 species
GGUUGCGAUCAUUCCAGCACUAAUGCACCGGAUCCCAUCAGAACUCCGCAGUUAAGCGUGCUUGGGCGAGAGUAGUACUCGGAUGGGUGACCCCAUGGGAAUUCCUCAUGUUGCAACCC